AACAUGAAGCAGACAUGCUUGAUGAAGAUGCCAUGAAGAGGGAAACAGGAAGACGGAGUUAUCUGAGAAAAGGUCUGCAUUAGGGAGAAAAUGGAGCCAUGUCUUUUCAAGAACCAGGGAACCAGACAGAUUAUUCUUCUAGCUCUGGCAUUUGAUACCUACAGAGCUCAUAUUUCAGCUUUUACCAAGGUUAUAGGAACGCCUAAAGCUGAGACCUUUGACUGCUGGAAUUGCAGAAAGGACACUGUGGAAGAAAGCAUAUUUGAAACUUCUUAGCUGAUGAUUGUUUAAACACCAUCUUCCAGCUGUUUCAUUUCUGGGUCUUUAGAAGAAAUAAACAACAUCUGCCCCUCUGUGCAUUAUUGGUUUAAAGAACUUUGUGUUUAUGAAAUAUGAUGUGCAUUAAAAAUGCAAAUUGUUUCUCACUUUGCAUUAAAAAAGAUUAAAAAUUAAUAAGAAUUCACUUACUAAUGUCAAGUCCCUUAUACAUUUUAAGUCAAAUCACAUACAUUCUUUAAUUCUUUUUUUCCCCCCUACGGAGGAAAUUAAAAUGUGAAACCUUUCUUUCCCUCCAAAUAAAGUAACUACAGGCAAGAGACCCAAGGAAAAUGACAAGCCUUUAAGCGAUAUUGAACCCUUCCUAAUGUAAACAUCUGGCCUGUCCAAAUUCAAUGAUUAAAUCUCAAGUUACGCCGAUUCAAUUGAGAUGCAGUUAUUUUAAAGUAUAUUUCUUGUAUAUUGUCUCAAUUUGCCAGAUAAGUUUGGGAAGAGACAAAAUAAAAUGGUUAGGUUUGCAUUUUGCAAAUUCACUGCAAACUCGCAUACUCCAAUUUACAGAGGAUCUGGUAGAGCUGAUUGAAGAUAUAAUUUGUUAUAUAGCAUUUCACUGUAGAAAGCAUAUACAUCCAUCAUGCUUAUGAAUUUAAAACAUGCCUUUAUUAACCUUUCAGAAGAAAUGUUUUGUGUACAAACGGAAUACUGCAUUUGAAGCAGUCCUAUCUUCUCUUAAAAUAUGAUGGGUAUUUAAACUUUCAGGGAAAAAAAGAUCCCUUUUUAGAUUAGACAAAUAUAAUUGAUGGAGGAGGUAGAAAAAUACUUAACAUUUUUGCAAGUAUACCUUCCUUACAAAGUAAGAUUUGCUUUCCUGCCAGAAUUAACCUUAUUGAGCUGUUUCCCUGUCCUGACUUUAAAAUGAAACUGUAUGUCUUCCAGAAACACAUUGGUCAUGAAUAAAACAAAACCAA
rnacentral:lncRNA from 1 species